CAAGGAAGCUUUGCGAUCAGAUCCAUACAGUCUUCGUAAAUCAACUGAUGGGGAGAAAAGGAAAAUGGAGAAAAAAGAAGAGGAAUUAUCAACCAAGAAGAGUCAGGCAGGGAUGGUGUCUCUUCUCCAUGGACUGGGCUUUCCAGAUUGAUAUGGACAUUUGGAUUAUAUGCUGGGUGGUUAUAGAUGGAGUAAAUAACAACAAUGACCGUGUAACUAACUGAGUAACUGUUAUGACCCAGGUACUGCGUCAAGGGGGUUACACAUGGUAUCCCACGUAUAUUAACAUAUUAUUCCCAAUUUUUCUCCAUUCUACAGAAUAUAUAAUGACCUUCAUUUUACAGAAAUGGGAACUGAACCUCAGAGCAUUCAGUCAAUGCCAAAGUCAAAUUUCAAACCCUUACAUGUUUAAUCAUGAUCUUUUCCACUAUAUGACUUUGCACUCAAAGAAUAUGCUAAGACACUAGGAUUUAAUAAUUCUAUGUUCCAUCUUUCAAAGAAAAUUCACCAUAUAUGCAAAGGGUCAAACAGUGACAUUCAGUCAUUAGUUAUUAACAAAGGCUUCCAUUUUUAAAGCACUUACUAUGUAAAAAGUACUGUGCUAAAUAGAUUAUUUUCAGUUUUUGCUUUUCUUACAAUAGUCCUGUAAAGUAACAUAUCCCUCAUUUGUAAAACUUGAGGCAGAAAAUUACCCACUCAGCUAAUAAGCAUCAUCUACUUUACUUAACUCAUGGCCAUGCUUGUUUCAUCUAUAUCCUUACUUUCCCCUCUCAUCUCCCAAAUUAUUGAGUGAAUCCCAGAUAUAUAUAACAUGUAAAUAUUUAAGCAUGUUAUCUCUAAAAGAGAAUCCAAAUCAAAAAACCAUUAUCCCACUGAAAAAAUUUAACAAAUCUUCAAUAUCAUUAACUAAUCAGUACUGAAAUCCCCCCCACACCUCAUUCAUUGAUUAAAGUUCCCCCCAUUUGUUUGUUUUACUGAAAAACAGCCCACAUUACAAUUGUCUGAUGUCUCUGAAGUAGUUUUUAAUCAAUUUAAGUUCCCUCUUAUGCUGUCCUUUUUUUACUUUGCAAUGUACUUGUGGAAAAUCAGCCUCAUUUGUUCUGUAGAAUUUCCCUUAGUUUAGAUUUUGCUGGUUAUAUACUUGUGAUGUCAUUUAACAUGUCCCUCUGUCCAUUUUAUUUCUAACAAACUGAUAAGAGAUGGGAGGCUUGAGCAGAUUCAGGUUCAAUUUUUUUUUUUUUUUUAAGCAAGACUUUUUGAUAAACAGCGCUAUGUUCAUUUAUUAAGAGAAACAUAUAACAUCUGGUUGUCUUUUUGUGAUGUUAAUGGUUUGCUCAACUUUUAUGUCUCAAUUUUAUCUUCUCACAGGGAUUUUAAGUUCCCCUGGGGAGGGGGACAGGGUUUUUAGUAGUUUUUUUUGGCCAUGCUGCACAGCUUAUGGGAUCUUAGUUGACUGACCAAGGAUGGAACCUGCGUCCUCUGCAGUGGAGGCAGAGCCCUAACCACUGGAUUGCUACGGAAUUCCUAUUUCUUCUGUUAGUAACAAAAAAAUUCGGGAAUUCCUUGGCUAGAACUUGGGGUUUUCACUGCCAAGGCCUGGGAUCAGUUCCCGCAAGCUGUGAGGUGCAGCCAAAGAAAACACAAAGAAAUUUCUGCUUUCAGUCACAGUACAUAGGAACCAUGGAGAAAAUACUUCCUGAAUGAUAUUAUACAGUGCUGUCCUAUCAAGCUAACUGGCUAAAUGUUCCUGCAAGAAGUAAUGAGGUUUUAGUAGUUCUGCUGGAACAAAGAACUAAAUCUAUAAUAAGUACCUGAAAUGAGAUAAUCUAUGUGAAGUAAUCUAUUACUCAAGUACUCAGCAUUGAAUUUUGUCAAUGCCACCAAGAUUCAAUGAGAAUACUGCCAAAACUAAAAAGCUACUUGAAGCAAGAAGUACUUAGCUAACAAGUUCUCAGGAGAUGGCUUACAUGAUAAUCAUACUAUUAACCACACCUCCUUGCGGAUUUACGUCCCCCAAGGAAGUAGCUGUUUUCCAGAAGUGUGCAUCAACGGUGUGCAGCUCUAAGGGACCUGCCCUGAUUAGCAGAAUGCCAACAACAAGACCCUGGGCUAGGCCAACUGGCGUCUGUGGGCUAUGUACUAAUUUUCACAGUUAUUUGUGAAGUAUGAACAACCGAUUCACAGAGAAACUGCAAAAAGAAGAUUGUUUCAACUUCUACCACUGAGCAUGAAGUUUAUGAAGCAGCAAGUAUCAGACCAGGUCUGACAGUGUGGGAUCUUUACCCUGCUUUUUGUAGUGGAAAAGCUGUACUGUCAAGAGAUUCAAUAAAUAAACACUCUGACAGAGAACUCCUUAUUUCUUCUUCAAUAAGCUAAUAAGACGGAGGUGCUACUUAGCUACUGGUACUAACUCAUUCUUCAUCUUUAAACCCUCAGAGAGAAAAAAAAAAAGGACAAAACAUGCCACCACCGCAACUGCCUGGAAUAAAGGUUGGUAAAGUCCUGAGAUACAAUCUUUACCUCAAGACAGCCACCCUCAAAUGACAUCUCCCAAGAGGUGGCAGAACAACCAACCAACAGCUGGUACACUGAAUCGGAGGCGAGAUUCACCUUCCUGAUUCAACAAAGGACAGUGUGAAGCAGUGCAGCCUGCUUGGACACCUGGGGAAUAUCUCACAGGUGUUUACUGCAAAGCACGAAGAACUCGACGACAGGCGACACAACAGCGGCCUAAGUAGCAACAGGCGCUCCUGAGUGGCCAAUUUCUAACAAACAAGUUUUAAAAGAAAUGCUGGGCUUGAUUUAACCUUUUCUGCUACGGUGACCCACACAGGUAACAAUGACUUAAAACAGCAUUUUAAAAAGAAAAUGAAAAGCAAUAUAUUCAGGUUACACAACCUUCUGAAUCUGCUGACUUGUGACUUCAUAAAUGCUGUGGAUAUGUUCAGUUUGCAUCAUUCCUACACCUUUCUUCUCAAAGCCAACCGGACUGGUAUCAAUUGCACACUUUCUCUCCCUCUUUCCCUCAAGAGCACUCAAUUCUGUAUACACAGCUGGCACUGAAUAAAUACUGACCAAUCAAAAAAAAAAAAAUACUGACCAGUCAAAUGGAAUGGGAUUUGCCAAAACCCAUGGAGAUUUCAUCAGACAAGUGGGCCAUACUAGUCUAUGAAUAGUAUGAACUCACAGUGAGCUCUUUAGGGGCUUUCUGGUCAAAAAUCAUCUAGUGCAUCUGCUUUGCCAAAAGGGACUUUUCCAUUCCUAUACCACCUGUCUCUAAAUAAGAAACAAACAAACAAAAACAGAUGUUCUUCUGUAGACCCAGCAGAUAAAUGGCACUUCACCCAGUGUUUGUGAGGUACUGGAGAGAGGCAGGAAGGAACUGUGUCCCGCACGCGAGGACAAGGCCCAACAAUCUCCUCACACUCUCACGACAGAGUUCACACUAGGAAAGUCACACUGUGUUUUCAGAGAAGAAAGCUCAUUUGCUUUCUGCAUCCUAAUUCCAGGAUACUAGCUACCCUUCCACUCAUGACAGGUAUCUGGAGUGGGUUAGCCCAAACUGGCUGACUGCAAUUGGUCCUUCCUAGACUCCAGAAUUGCCUUAGGUGCCAUUCUUCCAACUUAAAAAGGUUCUCAUUUGAAGAAGAGGAGAAAGGAUCUUUUGGGGCCAGGGUAUGUCUACUCUGUGAAACCUUCCUCAGGGACCCUGCAAUUAAGCCACACCUUUUUCAAUGUUCCCACAGUGCUGUGUACACACCUCUAUUACAGCAAGAUUACUGAACUGUAAUUUCUUUUUAUGUAUAUCACCUUCACUAAAAUCAAUAGCCUUGGUGAUAGAAAGCAUGUUUCAUUCACCUUUGUAAUUCCAAUGACCCAUAAAAAGCAAGCCUACAAUAAAAUUUUGUUAAACGAA